GGAUUAGAUACCCCACUAUGCCUAGCCGUAAAUACACUCACAUCUUAAACGCCUGGGAACUACGGGCUUAGCCUAAAACCCAAAGGACUUGACGGUGUCCCACCCAACUAGAGGAGCCUGUUCUACAAUCGAUAACCCCCGUUAAACCUGACCUCUUUUUGCCUUUCAGCCUGUAUACCUCCGUCGUAAAUUUACCGCGUGAGUGAAAAAUAGUACAAUUCAAUGUACCUCACCAAAACGUCAGGUCAAGGUGCAGCCUAUAAAGAGGGAAGCAAUGGGCUACAAUUUCUAACAUAGAACAAACGAACUACUACAUGAAACCCAGCUAUGAAGGAGGAUUUAGCAGUAAAGAGAAAUUAG
rnacentral:rRNA from 1 species